rnacentral:rRNA from 1 species
AGUGAACGCUGGCGGUAGGCCUAACACAUGCAAGUCGAACGGCAGCACAGUAAGAGCUUGCUCUUACGGGUGGCGAGUGGCGGACGGGUGAGGAAUACAUCGGAAUCUACUUUUUCGUGGGGGAUAACGUAGGGAAACUUACGCUAAUACCGCAUACGACCUACGGGUGAAAGCAGGGGAUCUUCGGACCUUGCGCGAUUGAAUGAGCCGAUGUCGGAUUAGCUAGUUGGCGGGGUAAAGGCCCACCAAGGCGACGAUCCGUAGCUGGUCUGAGAGGAUGAUCAGCCACACUGGAGCGGAGACACGGUCCAGACUCCUACGGGAGGCAGCAGUGGGGAAUAUUGGACAAUGGGCGGAAGUCUGAUCCAGCCAUACCGCGUGGGUGAAGAAGGCCUUCGGGUUGUAAAGCCCUUUUGUUGGGAAAGAAAAGCAGCAGGUUAAUACCCCGCUGUUCUGACGGUACCCAAAGAAUAAGCACCGGCUAACUUCGUG